rnacentral:misc_RNA from 1 species
CCUCCUCUUUGGCUGCGCCUUUUCUGUAUCAGUGCUUUUCCCGGGCGUGCCACAUCACACGAGCAGCGCCUCCACCGCUUCCGCAACGGGACGUGGCAAACCCGCGCGCAAAGACGCACGGACGCCGCCACUCGCAUGGUACGUGUUGCUUCGUUGCCGCCUGUCUUCCCCCAGAGGCGUUCUUUUCCACUUGCUGCUGCUGCUGUGGUGCAACUCCCCUUGCCCGGCCUGCCUGCAACAUCCUAAAGCUGCGCACAAUGCCGCCCGCGCACAUCUUCAUUGCCCGCCACAGCGAGCGGGUAGACCACAUGAACCGCGAGUUCGCCAAGACCUACAGCCGCCCGCACGACUCUCCCAUCACCGAAAACGGCGUCGUCCUGGCGGAAAAACUCGGCGAGUACCUGGUCCGCCACUACCGUGUCGACCCCGCCGAUGUUGUCGUUAUAACCUCUCCCCUGCUGCGCUGCGUUCAGACCUCGAAUGCAAUCGUGACCGGCGCCCUCCGCGCCGCGGCGGCGAGCGCGAAGGUCGACACGAUUCCUGUGUAUCUUGAGCCGGCCAUCAUGGAAGGCCCGUACUGGAUGUUCGUGGACAUGUGCAACAACCCAUCCGUCGUGGAGCCGAACGGCGGCCCCUUCCACUGCCCAGAGCCCGUGUACAACGAUGCAGCGUUCCACCGCGCCAGCACCUCGCCACACGUGCAGCUGCAGAAUCCGUUCCCUUUGCACCCGCCUCCGGUCUUCACAGUGAAGGACAACAAGCUUGUCGACUCGAGCUUUCCAGAGCGGUGCGCGCAAGCCUCUAAGAGGCUGCUGGCUGUCCCAGAGCUGGAUGGCAAGACGGUGGUGCUCGUGGCGCACGGCGAGACAGUGCUGCGUGCACUGCAUGCGAUGAAGAACACGGAGAUAGACGCGGAAUUCCACAGCCCGCCCUAUACGGGGCUCGUGCACGUCACGUGCGAGUGCAGCGGGGCAGAGACGCGGGUGUCGGUGGAGUAUGAACCCUUUGCGACACCGCAUCUCCCUGCGGAACCGAUGGAGUCGUAGCGAAGGAAGAAACGAGGAAGGUGUUGACGUUGGUGCAGGCGCCACGUAGCCACGGCACCCUCUUCCUGCCCACGAGCAGACCUGGACAGCAGUCAUCACCAGACAUCGGUGUUGUCUGCGUGCAUCGCUUUUUGCUUUCUUCUAUGUAUCUGCCUGUGCGUGCAUGCCUGCGUCUGCGCGUGGCAGCGGAGAAGGGAAGGGGGAGGGAGGAGGAGGCCAGACACCCACACCCUAUCCCCUGCCAGUGCCGAGCCUCCCCUCUGGUGGGGGGCACGGGUUGAGGCAGGGGACGCGCUCAGGUCACUGAGUUGGUGCCUUGUGCUGCGGCAGGUCCCGUGGGUGCGGUGGGAGGGGGGAGGGGGAGGGUCGAGUGGCGGUUGCGCUCCUAUUCGAUGGCAGGAUAACGGACGCGUUGGGCAGGAAAACGAAAUCGCUUUCUGUGCAUCAUGAGCCCCCACCCUCCUCCUUCUCCUUUCUUUCUUCUCCGCACGAAAGUUCCUUCCACGUGUGUUCGUGUGUGUUCUUGUAGAGAACGAGCGAGUGAGAGAGAGAGAGAGAGCGACACUGCGGCAUCCAAACAGAGAACUGCCCGGCAUCGGCACACGGGGUGCCGGCGACACCGCUGUCAUGGACAAGAAUUGGGGAGAAACUUUGAACAACGCCGCAGCAGGAGUGAAGGGUGCACACGGCCAUGUGCGCUACCUCAUUUGCCCCCCCCCUCCCCUCAACCCCAACCCCAACCUCCGCCGCUCCUUCCCUCACUCCCAAGUUUCCGCAG